rnacentral:ribozyme from 1 species
UGCCCAGCAACUCCUAUCCCUACCUCCUCGCGGUACUGGCCGGGGUACGAGUAACCUUAGGGAACUCUACGGCGAACCCAGUAUCCAGAAGGUGGCCAAAGCUGGAAGG